rnacentral:sRNA from 1 species
CGUAAUCAAUCUGUUGGGGAGAAAUAAAGUGAAUGUGCGCGUCGAUGCCGCCGGCCGUGGCAAUCAGGCCCGCGCCGUUAUGCACCUCCGUCGAGGCCCCGAUAAUCAUGUUCGGCGACACGCCAUCGGCCGUGUCGGGGUUGCCGGCCUUGCCAAUGCCCACAAUCCGGCCGUCCUUAAUGCCAAUAUCGGCCUUCACAAUGCCCCAGUGGUCAAUAAUAAUCAGGUUGAUAAGCACGAAGUCCAUCACGCCCUCGUGCCGGGUGGCAGUGGCCGACUGCGCCAUGCCAUCGCGCACG